rnacentral:rRNA from 1 species
UACAGAGGGUGCGAGCGUUGUUCGGAAUUAUUGGGCGUAAAGGGCGCGUAGGCGGUGCGGUAAGUCACCUGUGAAAUCUCCUGGCUCAACUGGGAGCUUGCAGGCGAAACUGCCGUGCUGGAGUGUGGGAGAGGUGCGUGGAAUUCCUGGUGUAGCGGUGAAAUGCGUAGAUAUCAGGAGGAACACCGGUGGCGAAGGCGGCAUCCUGGACCAACACUGACGCUGAGGAGCGAAAGCCAGGGGAGCAAACGGG